UACAGAGGGGGCAAGCGUUGUUCGGAAUUACUGGGCGUAAAGGGCGCGUAGGCGGCCUUCUAAGUCGAACGUGAAAUCCCCGGGCUCAACCCGGGAACUGCGUCCGAUACUGGAAGGCUUGAAUCCGGGAGAGGGAUGCGGAAUUCCAGGUGUAGCGGUGAAAUGCGUAGAUAUCUGGAGGAACACCGGUGGCGAAGGCGGCAUCCUGGACCAAUACUGACACUGAAAAGCGAAAGCCAGGGGAGCAAACGGG
rnacentral:rRNA from 1 species